UUUUUCUUUUUUUCAACCAUUCAAAAAUUUAAAACAAAAUAAAACCUUUCUUGGCUUGCAGGCUGCACAAAAGAGGCAAUGGUGUUUGGUGUUUUGUAUUUGUCAUGAGAACUAUAGUUUUCAGACUAUAGAUUGAGAGAGAAGCUCCACUAAAGUCCUACUACUAAGUCCCCCAAGCUGCCUGACUCUGCUUCAAGAGUAUCAAUUUCUGGUAAUCUCUUUGAUUAUGAGAGCACCUGAGUCACCUUUCAACUAAUCCUUUACCUUACUUAUUGUUUACUGCUUAUUUGUUUUUGUAUGUGCAUCCAAAAGACACCAAUGCACGUUUAAUUUAACAAUUGCAAGAUUUUAGAUUUAAUUUUUAUGACUCAGUGGCAGGAAAAGGUUAUAAAUGUUCAGUAAGAAAAAUAACUCUCCCAGUUUUAAAAAAAAUAACCAUAGCUCAAGAUGGUUUGAUGCUAAUAAUUUUUAUCCCCAAGUUCUCCAAAAUGAUGAAUGGAUAAAAUUUGGAAAUAGAACGUUUAAUAAAAACCAAAUAAAAAAUUUCCUGGGUGAGGCUUUUAAAUCAGAUUGUCAAAGCAAGCCUUCAGGUAUGAAUAAAUUGACUGGGUUCCUAUGCUACCCUCAUGCAACUCAAAGUUGGAAAAUUAUUCUAGACAAUAAAUUUAAAUAUAAUUUGAACCUAAUAGUACCUCUAUUGCCACACUAAGUAACUACAUGGAAAGUUUUUUGGUCAACUUGGUUUUUGUGGUGCAUUAAUGAGAGCACAUGAACAACUGAAUUGGCAUGUGACUAUUCUACCUCUUGGUUCCACUAUUUAUAUAAACCAGGAAUAAGCUAUCCAGCUGCACAUAGACAACCACUAAACAAAUGGUAUGAGAAUAAAUUGUGUUAAUAUGCUGUCUCCCAAAGCAAUUAUGCAUAUUCAUUCAUACAUACAUAAGUUUUCUGGGUCAGAGGGUACCAUCCAAAAUAAUAUAAAUGUUUUUAAAUAUCUAUGGUGACUAUAAACUGACCAUAAUUAUUAAAAUUAAUUUUAAUACUUUAUUUUUAUAAAAACCCUCAACAGUUACCUAAAUGACAAGUAUCAGGGAGGUGUUUAGCAUUGACGAAUGUCUGACCUGUUUGCUAUUUGCUGUGAGUCACAUGUCGGUGAUGUGGUAUUUCGUUUCAACCUUUAUUUCCUGUCACUGACGUUAAGUCAAAACCAAACAACAAAAGUCUAUUAGAAACAUAAGGGAUACUUGAAUACACCCAAUUCUUUUAGGUCAAUCCUCUGCCCUUACUAGAGUCUAGAAAUUUUUUUCUCAUAAUGUGAUAUUUUUAUGUUCAUGACUCAUCUCUUCUUAUACUUUUACAUAAAAAAAAAAUUUGUCUCCUGGAUGCUAUGAAUUAUGUCCCCUGCUUAAAAAUUCUCAGGAGCCCCUAAGUUGGUUUAUCCUUUUCUUCACAGUUAUGAGAUGACUGAAUCUAAGACAAUAUUCUAAAGCUUUAACAUUAAUUAUAAAAUGUUUGUAUGCCUGGGCACACACCCACAGAACUGCCUUUAAGAAAAAAUGAAAUUGUGAAGCCCCCUUUAUGCUUCUCUGGAAGAUCAUUUAAAUGGCUGUCAUUUCUACUUUUCCAGCAUGUUCAUCAAAUUAGGAAAAUAUUCAAGUGAGAAAAUUAAAUCCUUAUUUAUCUUCAUACUUUGAAAACUGCCACAGGCAGCAUUAAAUGACUUUACAUUUCUCUUGAAAAUAUGCACAUGAAUAUUUUCAACUGAAAUUUUCUGUAGUUGUUUAAAAAAUUCAAAAUUAGACUAUGUAUAUUUAUUUAGACAAACUUUUAUUUUAUUCAUAUUAAACCAUGGUAAAGGGAUUAAAAUAGCUGUGCUUAGCAAUGCCCAUGUUAUGAGCAACUCACAUGUGAAAAUUCUAAACAAACAAAUAAUAAUUUUCAAAACUUCUCUUACUUCUUCUGUCACUCUAAAGUCACUCUGCUUCCAUCCUUGCUAUUUCUAGGGACUCUCACAACCCAGUAAUGUCACUUUCUUGGCCUAUCCUGCAAAUUUUCUAACCAACCGUUAAAUUAUUUUCCCCCUUUCUUCAUCAAAGAAAUGCAAAGUAUAUACAAAUUUAGUGGGUUUCCGAUUCUAUCAUUAUUCACAACUUCAUGUGUGCUACCUUAGAUAUAUAUACUUAUAACAUGGAUAAAGCCAUAUACAUAUCAGUUAAAUUGAUUUCUGUGGUGUAUUAAUGAAAGCACCUGAACAUUCAGUCAAGCAUUUGGUUCUAGUAAAUAGACCAGUGGUUCUAUUUAAUAGUGGUUCUAGUAAAUAUAGACCUGGGUGGGAUAUGUUACCUAUCUACAUAUAUUUUAUUUAUGACUAUAUCAUAUGCAGAUAUUACUUAACUGAAGUUUAUAUAAUAAGAAAUAAGUGGGUGGGCUCCAGAGCCAACCUUCCAGGUUUAAAUCCUAGUUCCACAAAUUCUUAAAUGUGUGAAAUUAAAAAAGUUAUUUAAUUGCUUCAUGCCUCAGUAUAUACUCUUUAGUGAAAUUGGAUGAUAAAGGCAUUAGCUUCCAUAUGAGGAUUAGUGCAUUUCACAUGUGGGAAACUCCUAAAACAGGAUCUGGCACAUAGUUUGCGUAUUAUGAAAGUUCAGCUUUAUUAUCCUCUUUUACUCCUUAAUUUUUUAGCUUAGGUUUUCCGGUUCUCCCAAUUCCCUUAAGAAAACCUCAUUUUUCUCUAUUUCAGAUAGAUAAAUAAAUAGACAGAUCUAGAUCUAGAUAUAAAGAAAUAAAUGGUCCAUGUUUCCCUGGGAGCAAUUUCAAAAAAUCUCAAAGAAACCAAGCCUCUAAUAUGCCUUUUUAGAAACCCUGCCCUACUAUCCAUCUACCUCUUUAUCUUCCCAUAUUUCUUGAAUUCAAAAUAGCAAUGUUAUUAAUUCAUUUAUUUUUGUUUAUAUUUAUUAAAACAGCUUGUUUCUCUACUUUAUAUAGAGCACUGAUUUCACAUUAUGGGUUUAGUUAGAGUUGCUCAGAUAGUUUUUGAUCCUUAAUAAAAACAAAAAUAGGGAUCCCUGGGUGGCACAGUGGUUUGGCGCCUGCCUUUGGCCCAGGGCGCGAUCCUGGAGACCCGGGAUCGAAUCCCACGUCGGGCUCCCGGUGCAUGGAGCCUGCUUCUCCCUCUGCCUGUGUCUCUGCCUCUCUCUCUGUCUCUCUGUGUGUAACUAUCAUAAAUAAAUAAAAAUUAAAAAAAAUAAAGGGCUAACCUUAUAAAAAAAAUAAAAACAAAAAUAAAAACAAAAAUAAAAUGCUUCAGCUUUCUGCAUGAAGGGCAACCCAGGUAAGAAUCUAACACCAAUGGCACUGGAACUGACCCCCAAACCUUGUAAUUUUUAUCAGCUUUUCUUCCUCUUUAUUGCUGACUCUUGGUUCAGCUGGGUUCAACACGUCCCACACUGAACAAAUUAUCAGCAAUAGCACUUUCCCUGUACACCUGUCCCUAUUCCAGGUUUCACUCUAGACUCAGAUGACACAGCCUGAGUGAGGAUCAUCUUUAAGUCCUUCCUUCUCCUCAUUUCUUAUGUCCCAAAAAUCACAAAGCUCCACUGAAUCUGCCCCUAAAUAUCUACCAUAUCCUUCCAUUUGGCUUGACUACCAUGGCCAAGAUCCUAGACCUGGGCUCCCACAUGAAGCUCCUAAAGUUUCCCUAACUGACCUCUUUAUAUCCAGGCUCUUUUCCCUUCAACUCAUUCUUCAUGAUAUCAGCAGCAUGAGUUUUCUAAAGUGUUUCUUGUUUCUCUUGAAUAGACUAUCUAAAACUUUCUUUUGCUCUUGGAAUGAGGUCAGAACCUUUAAUAAAAAUGACCGCAUCUGAAGAGCCUUUUGCCUUUCUAGUCUUAUGCACUCAGGAUCCCAUAACUAAUUUUUUACUUCUCCCCAAAUGCAAUAAACUCUCUAUCACCUGCUGCUGUUGGCAGCCCUGUAGUUCACCCUCUAUGCCACUGAAUCCCAUUUUAAAAGAUAAGCAACAAUUUCACUUUGUAAAGAAAAAUAAUUUGAACUUAGAAUUCUAUACCCAACAAAUGGAUAAUCAACUGGAAGACAAUAGAGAAAUAUGCAUAAAUCAAUGUCUAAAAAAGUUUCUCUAUCAUAUUUUCUUGAAUGAUACUUAAAAAUAUUUUAUUAGGGUACCUGAGUGGCUCAGUCAGUUAAGCUGCAGACUCCUGAUCUCAGGUCAGGUCUUCUUCUCAGGGUCAUAAGUUCAAGCCCCAUAUUGGGCUCCAUGCUGGGUAUGAAGCCUACUUUAAAAAACAUAUUAUGGGGUGCCAGGGUGGUGCAGUUGGUUGAGUGACUCAUUCUUGCUUUUCAGCUCAAGUUGUGAAGUCAGGAUCAAGGGACUUUCUCCCUCUGCCCCUCCCUUAUGUGUCCCUUAUGUGUUCAGGUAUGUACUCUCUCUCUCACUCUCUUUCUCAAAAAUAAAUAAGUAAAUCUUUUGAAAAAAAUACAUUUAUCAAAUUUAUUUUAAAAAAAGAUACAAGAAUCCAAGAAAAUACAACUGUAAAAGAGAAAGGCAAUAUGAAAAAAAAUCUUAAGUGUUACAAAAAUAAAAAUAUAAUUAAAGGCGGUCAGACACUGAAAAGGUAGGAAAAAAAAAAAAGUUUUCUUAACCCUACACAGAAAUGGACCAAGGUUCAGAUCAGAGUCAAUGGAAUGAGAUGUAAUAUAUUAUUUAAAGUUGUAAUGAUAAACAGUAAAAAAUCAUAAUCAUUAGAUUCUCAAAUUAGUAGGCGUUACAAAGAUAAGAAACAGACAUCUAUUCAAUUCAUUGUUUAAUAUUUUAUUUAAAUUCAGUUUGCCAACAUAUAGUAUAAUACCUAGUGUUAAUCUCAUCAUGUUCAAUUCAAUUCUUAAAUCAUGUUCUGCAUUCCCCAUCCUAGAAGCAAUGCUCUUUAUCUAUAGCAUAUCAUCCUUCUCAUUGGAGUCCUGCCUCUUCCCUCUCCUUAGCACUAUCAACUCAAAGUCAAAACAAGAGGCAAUGGACAGAAUUUUAUGUCAUAAGGUGAGAUCAUUAAUUUAAUAUUACAAACCUCAGCUGCUAAGAAAUCAGGUACCUCUUUCUUCAUCUUGGACCACCUUCUUACCUGCCUUGCCAUAUCUACAACUAACCUUAUUUUUUCUGUUGUAAAUCAACUUAGCUUCUCUUUUUUCCAUUCGGGUUUAUACAGAUCUACAUCUUUCUGACAAAAUAGUUCCACACAUGUCCAUUUCUAUACUAAGUCUUUCCCUAAGAGAAAUUCUCCCACUAUUCCUCUUCUCCUUUCUUCUCCUCUUUAUUUCAAUUGAUGUAUUCAUAUGUUAAACAGGUAUGUU
rnacentral:lncRNA from 1 species